rnacentral:misc_RNA from 1 species
CCGCCAUGGAUUUGGUUGAUCAAGAUGGAGAUGAAAGGUUUGGUUGAUUGAUUGAUUGUUUAGUAGUCUGUUUGUGUGUUUCUGGUGGUGCGAUUUGGUUGAAAGAUGCGAUUGAUUUUGUUCUUGAGAUGUUCGAGUUUGCGAUCGCCGUCGCGAACGUCAACCUUCUUCUGGUUUGAUUGUUGAUUCCUUUUGCUUAAUUUUUUGUUGUUGG